rnacentral:rRNA from 1 species
GGGAGUAACAAGAGGGAAACGUUACUGAUAAUAACUGGAUAAGUUAGUAUAUCGCAUGAUAUGCAAAUGAAAGCUACGGCACUAAAGGAGAGCUUUGCGUCCUAUUAGCUAGUUGGUAAGGUAAGAGCUUACCAAGGCGAUGAUAGGUAGCCGGCCUGAGAGGGUGGACGGCCACAAGGGGACUGAGAUACGGCCCUUACUCCUACGGGAGGCAGCAGC